rnacentral:rRNA from 1 species
GAUAAACGCUGGCGGCGUGCUUAACACAUGCAAGUCGAACGGAGUAUUUCUCCCGAGACCGAGGAAGCUUGCUUCCAAAGAAUCAUUUGAAAUACUUAGUGGCGGACGGGUGAGUAACGCGUGGGUAACCUGCCUCACACUGGGGGAUAGCAGUUGGAAACGACUGAUAAUACCGCAUAAGCGCACAAUACCGCAUGGUAUGGUGUGAAAAACUCCGGUGGUGUGAGAUGGACCCGCGUCUGAUUAGCCAGUUGGCGGGGUAACGGCCCACCAAAGCGACGAUCAGUAGCCGGCCUGAGAGGGUGUACGGCCACAUUGGGACUGAGACACGGCCCAAACUCCUACGGGAGGCAGCAGUGGGGAAUAUUGCACAAUGGGGGAAACCCUGAUGCAGCGACGCCGCGUGAGCGAUGAAGUAUUUCGGUAUGUAAAGCUCUAUCAGCAGGAAGAUAAUGACGUA